rnacentral:rRNA from 1 species
AUUGAACGCUGGCGGCAGGCCUAACACAUGCAAGUCGAGCGGAUGAAGGGAGCUUGCUCCUGGAUUCAGCGGCGGACGGGUGAGUAAUGCCUAGGAAUCUGCCUGGUAGUGGGGGAUAACGUCUGGAAACGGGCGCUAAUACCGCAUACGUCCUGAGGGAGAAAGUGGGGGAUCUUCGGACCUCACGCUAUCAGAUGAGCCUAGGUCGGAUUGGCUAGUUGGUGGGGUAAAGGCCUACCAAGCCGACGAUCCGUAACUGGUCUGAGAGGAUGAUCAGUCACACUGGAACUGGGACACGGUCCAGACUCCUACGGGAGGCAGCAGUGGGGAAUAUUGGACAAUGGGCGAAAGCCUGAUCCAGCCAUGCCGCGUGUGUGAAGAAGGUCUUCGGAUUGUAAAGCACUUUAAGUUGGGAGGAAGGGCAGUAAGUUAAUACCUUGCUGUUUUGACGUUACCAACAGAAUAAGCACCGGCUAACUUCGUG